rnacentral:rRNA from 1 species
UGGGGAAUCUUGCGCAAUGCGCGACAGCGUGACGCAGCAACGCCGCGUGGGGGAAGAAGGCCUUCGGGUCGUAAACCCCUUUCAGGAGGGACGAAGCUCCGGGAGUUAACAGCUCUCCGGAGUGACGGUACCUCCACAAGAAGCCCCGGCUAACUACGUGCCAGCAGCCGCGGUAAUACGUAGGGGGCAAGCGUUGUCCGGAAUCAUUGGGCGUAAAGCGCGCGUAGGCGGCCAGGUAAGUCCGGUGUGAAAGUCAAAGGCUCAACCUUUGAAUGCCGCUGGAAACUGCCUGGCUAGAGUCCGGGAGGGGCGAGUGGAAUUCCUGGUGUAGCGGUGAAAUGCGCAGAUAUCAGGAGGAACACCAAUGGCGAAGGCAGCUCGCUGGAACGGUACUGACGCUGAGGCGCGAAAGCGUGGGGAGCAAACAG